rnacentral:rRNA from 1 species
UAGGGAAUCUUCGGCAAUGGACGGAAGUCUGACCGAGCAACGCCGCGUGAGUGAAGAAGGUUUUCGGAUCGUAAAGCUCUGUUGUUAGAGAAGAACGUUGGUAGGAGUGGAAAAUCUACCAAGUGACGGUAACUAACCAGAAAGGGACGGCUAACUACGUGACAGCAGCCGCGGUAAUACGUAGGUCCCGAGCGUUGUCCGGAUUUAUUGGGCGUAAAGCGAGCGCAGGCGGUUCUUUAAGUCUGAAGUUAAGGGCAGUGGCUUAACCAUUGUACGCUUUGGAGACUGGAGGACUUGAGUGCAGAAGGGGAGAGUGGAAUUCCAUGUGUAGCGGUGAAAUGCGUAGAUAUAUGGAGGAACACCGGUGGCGAAAGCGGCUCUCUGGUCUGUAACUGACGCUGAGGCUCGAAAGCGUGGGGAGCAAACAGGAUUAGAUACCCUGGUAGUCCACGCCGUAAACGAUGAGUGCUAGGUGUUAGGCCCUUUCCGGGGCUUAGUGCCGCAGCUAACGCAUUAAGCACUCCGCCUGAGGAGUACGACCGCAAGGUUG